rnacentral:rRNA from 1 species
GACGAACGCUGGCGGCGUGCUUAACACAUGCAAGUCGAACGGACCGCUGGAGCUUGCUCUGGUUGGUUAGUGGCGAACGGGCGAGUAACACGUGAGUAACCUGCCCUGGACUUUGGGAUAACUAUCUGAAGGGAUAGCUAAUACUGAUUAUUCUGCAAGGAUCGCAUGGUUUUUGUUGGAAAGGGUUUCUGGUUUGGGAUGGACUCGCGGCUUAUCAGCUUGUUGGUGGGGUAA